GGCCUCACAGUGCUUACCACAGGCUGUGUUAUUUACACUGACUUUAUAUAUAGAGGAGGCACAGUAAAUGCAUCCUAUAUACACCUCAACCCAGGCCCUUUGCCUGGGCUGUAUUGUGAAUUGGGGGACUCUC